UUUGAUCCUGGCUCAGAGCGAACGCUGGCGGCAGGCUUAACACAUGCAAGUCGAGCGGGCGUAGCAAUACGUCAGCGGCAGACGGGUGAGUAACGCGUGGGAACAUACCUUUUGGUUCGGAACAACACAGGGAAACUUGUGCUAAUACCGGAUAAGCCCUUACGGGGAAAGAUUUAUCGCCGAAAGAUUGGCCCGCGUCUGAUUAGCUAGUUGGUGAGGUAAUGGCUCACCAAGGCGACGAUCAGUAGCUGGUCUGAGAGGAUGAUCAGCCACAUUGGGACUGAGACACGGCCCAAACUCCUACGGGAGGCAGCAGUGGGGAAUAUUGGACAAUGGGGGCAACCCUGAUCCAGCCAUGCCGCGUGAGUGAUGAAGGCCCUAGGGUUGUAAAGCUCUUUUGUGCGGGAAGAUAAUGACGGUACCGCAAGAAUAAGCCCC
rnacentral:rRNA from 1 species